CCUACGGGUGGCAGCAGUCGAGAAUCAUUCACAAUGGGGGAAACCCUGAUGGUGCGACGCCGCGUGGGGGAAUGAAGGUCUUCGGAUUGUAAACCCCUGUCAUGUGGGAGCAAAUUAAAAAGAUAGUACCACAAGAGGAAGAGACGGCUAACUCUGUGCCAGCAGCCGCGGUAAUACAGAGGUCUCAAGCGUGGUUCGGAAUCACUGGGCGUAAGGCGUGCGUAGGCUGUUUCGUAAGUCGGGUGUGAAAGGCGCGGGCUCAACCCGCGGACGGCACAUGAUACUGCGAGACUAGAGUAAUGGAGGGGGAACCGGAAUUCUCGGUGUAGCAGUGAAAUGCGUAGAUAUCGAGAGGAACACUCGUGGCGAAGGCGGGUUCCUGGACAUUAACUGACGCUGAGGCACGAAGGCCAGGGGAGCGAAAGGGAUUAGAUACCCGAGUAGUC
rnacentral:rRNA from 1 species